GACGAACGCUGGCGGCGUGCUAAACACAUGCAAGUCGAACGAAGUGGAGAACGGGUGAGUAAUACGUGGGUGACCAGCCCUGCGUUUUAGGAUAAGCCAUGGAAACGGGGUCUAAUAACGAAUAAAGGGGACUGGGCUCGCGGCCUUUCAUUUUGUUGGUGGGGUGAUGGCGUACCAAGGCUGUGACGGGUAGCCGGUCUGCGAGGGGGACUGGACAUAUUGGGACGGAGAGACGGCCCCGAGUCCUAAGGGAGGCGGCAGUUGUGGAUAUGACACAAUGGGCGCAAGCCUGAUGCAGCUACGCCUCGUGGGGGAUGGAGGCUUUCGGAUGUGAAACCUCUUUCGCUAUCGAACGGGUAGGUAGAGAGGAAGCGCCGGCUAACUACGUGCCAGCAGCCGCGGUAAUAC
rnacentral:rRNA from 1 species